ACCGUUCUCAGCCCCGGCUCCUGCCUGUCGUGGCCUUGGGGCUCUCAGCCCUCCUCCUGGAUCCUGGUCGGGCCGAACCACCGCUGCCUCUCCUUCCUCCGCAUGAGCCUCUGGCAUGGUCCUUCCUCCAGCUGGCCCCGGGCUGGGCAGAGCCUCCUCCUGCCGGGGCCCCUGCCCACCCCCUCCUUUGCCUGGAGUGAGGGUGUUCAUACCAAAGACGGAACCAUUUCGCCUUUAAAGAAAAUAUAUCCAGAAGCAGCCGCUGCCUCAGAGCCCUGGCCCGUGGGUCCCCCUCUCGCCUGGCUGGUUCAGUCUAACGCCCCGGAGAGUCAGGGCUCCCAGGACCCUGGGGAGGAGGCGGAUUCUGGGCCUGGCUGGGCUUCCUCUUCCCACCUGAGGACUGGGUGCACAGUUGUCUUUGAGGGGGGACGCUUAAGGUGCUUUGGGGUUCUCAGGCCAGGACACAUGCUGGCGCUGAAGUGGAGGCAGCCUUGAGGUCACCUGGGAUCUCGGGGUAGCCAGGCCGCUCCAAGACAGUGGAUAUCGAGGCAGUCGUGAGGCCCCUACUCCACCUGGGAGCAGGGGAAGGACGUGGUUGCCUGGCCUGGGCUGCGCCCAGCAGCUUCCCCCCAAUCCUGCCCUCCCAGCUGUGGACCCAGACGGGAUGUUCGGAUCGGUUUGUAAUUAAACCUGGGAAUGGCCACAAGAGCACAAGCCCACCUGCAUAUCUGGGGGCCCUCGCGGGGCUGGGGCUGGGACGAGUCUCCCAGGUGGAGAGCUGAUGAGGGGGCUCAGAGGGACCACAUUUGGCCUCCCUAAGGGCCUGGACUUGGAGAGAAGGAAGGCGGGGCUGUGCGUGUGCCCGUACCUGGCAGAUUGUGGGGUGACCCCUCUGCCCAGCAGCCCCCGCGUCUCUCUGGUUACCUCUGUUUUAUCCAGGAUAAAACACAGUUCAACUUCUCCACUAAACACUUCUCUCACCUCCUUGGAGACACCCUAGUUUAUCACCCGAAUGCCAAACCUCUGCCUUUCAAGACAGCUCAGGACAUCAGACAAGAGCUGGUUGUUUUCUUCUCCAAGAUGCCCCCAGCAUGGCCCUAGAUGGGCCGGGCUUUCCUGUUGUCCUAGCUUCUCUCCAGGACACCCCCCUCGAUGCCCCUGCUCUUCCCUGACGCCCAGCAUCGUGCUCAAGCACCCCAGCUCCAUUCCUUAACCUCCCGUCAUGUUAUAUCUGAGCCUUUGGCUCCAAGAGACCCCCCAACUCCUCCCGCAAACACAGCAUCUUCCCAGGAGAGAGGUUCCCAGCCUCUCCACAUCCCUGCAGGGCCACGUCUGUCAAGGGCCAAGGAUCUCUGGCAGCUUUCUCUGCAGACAGCAGGCCCUACCCCCUGCCCUGGGGGACAGGUCUAGUAAGGGUGUGUGUGGGGAGAAAAAGCCACUCUGGUUUGUCCUUAACUAGGACUGGAGCCUUCCAAAGGCAAACCCAAAAGGGGCUUUGAUGACACGUCUCUUAUUUCCGAGAUGUGGAGGCAGAGCCACCCAUCCAUCCUCCCAUCUACAUGUGUCUAUCAGUGACCCAUUCACCCACCCAUCAUCCAUUCACCCAUCCACCCAUCAUCCAUUCACCCAUCCAUCCAUCAUCCAUUCACCCAUCCAUCCAUCCAUCCAUUCACCCACCCAUCCAUCAUCCAUCAUCCAUCUAUAAACCUAUCAGUAACCCUCCAUCCAUCAUCCAUCCAUCCAUCCAUCCAUCCAUCCAUCAUACAUCAUCCAUCUAUAAAUCCAUCAGUAACCCACUCAUCCAUCCCCCAUCUACACAUCCAUCAGUAACCCACUCAUCCAUCCAUCUAUCCAUCAUGCAUCAUCCAUCUAUAAAUCCAUCAGUAACUCACUCAUCCAUCCCCCAUCUACACAUCCAUCAGUAACCCACUCAUCCAUCCAUCAUACAUCAUCCAUCUAUAAAUCUAUCAGUAACCGUCCAUCCAUCAUCCAUCCAUCCAUCACCAUCCAUCCAUCCAUCCAUCCAUCCACCAUCCAUCCAUCCAUCCAUCCAUCAUGCAUCAUCCAUCUAUAAAUCCAUCAGUAACCCAUUCAUCCAUCCCCCAUCUACACAUCCAUCAGUAACCCACUCAUCCAUCCAUCAUACAUCAUCCAUCUAUAAAUCUAUCAGUAACCGUCCAUCCAUCAUCCAUCCAUCCAUCAUGCAUCAUCCAUCUAUAAAUGCAUCAGUAACCCACUCAUCCAUCCCCCAUCUACACAUCCAUCAGUAAUCCACCCAUCCAUCCAUCUACACAUCCAACCAUACAUCCAUCCCAUUUACACAUCAAGUAAUCCACCUACCCAUCCCCCAUCUACACAUCCAUCAGUAACCCACUCAUCCAUCCAACCAUCCAUCUGCGUAUCCAGCCAUCCAUCCAUCUCCACAUGUACACAUCCAUCAGUCAUCCAUCCAUCCAGUCACCCAUUCAUUGCCCCAUCUACACCCAUCAGUAACCCAGCCAUCCAUCUAUCCAUUCGCCCACCUGGUCCCCCAUCCAUCGGCCUAAGCCUCCAUCAUUAUUCCAUCUAUCCAUUUUCCAUCUGUCCAUCCAUUCAUCAUCCAUGCAUCCACCUGUCUCUCUAUCGCUCAUCCAUCGCCUGUUCAUUUUCAUUCCCUUCACUACUCCAUCCAUCCACCCACCCACCGUCUUUCAGCAUGCUUGCAUUGGGUAUCUUUUACCUGCUUGAGUAUCUUUUAUCUGUCAGGAGCUCUGGUGGGCAAACAAGAUGCAGUAAUGACCAAAACAGAUCUGCCCUCGUGGAGUUAAUGGCCAAGUGACAUUAAUCUGCAAAUCACCACUCAACAUACAAUCACAGCUGUGGAGUGGGCGCGGUGGCUCACGCCUGUAAUCCCAGCACUUUGGGAGGCUGAGGCGGGCGGAUCACCUGAGGUCAGGAGUUCAAGACCAGCCUGGCCAACAUGUCAAAACCCCGUGUCUGCUGGAAAUACAAAAAUUAGCUGGGCGUGGUGGUGCACGCCUAUAGUCCCAGCUACUCGGGAGGCUGAGGCAGGAAAAUCACUUGAACCCGGGAGGCGGAGGUUAAGUGAGCUGAGAUCGCACCACUGCACUCCAGCUUGGAGGACAGAGCGAGACUCCAUCUCAAAACAAACAACUGUGGAAAAGAGUGCGUCAUGGAGCUUAGAAAUCCCAGGAAAUCCAGGUGAAGAAAGUAGAGCUCUGGGCAGAGGAGACGGCGUGUGCAAAGGCCCUGUGGUGUGUUCAGCCAGCACGUUCAGGGAGCAGAAGGGUGGCCAAUAUGGCCGAGGUCCCUGUGUAAAUAGAAACUGGCGCCUGCUGGGACAUGAGCCAAGAGUAUCAUGAACUCGGGGGGCUGAAACUCUCCCUGCUUUACAGAUGAAGAA
rnacentral:lncRNA from 1 species